rnacentral:rRNA from 1 species
AUUGAACGCUGGCGGCAGGCCUAACACAUGCAAGUCGAGCGGCAGCGGGAAAGUAGCUUGCUACUUUUGCCGGCGAGCGGCGGACGGGUGAGUAAUGCCUGGGGAUCUGCCCAAUCGAGGGGGAUAACUACUGGAAACGGUAGCUAAUACCGCAUACGCCCUACGGGGGAAAGCAGGGGACCUUCGGGCCUUGCGCGAUUGGAUGAACCCAGGUGGGAUUAGCUAGUUGGUGAGGUAAUGGCUCACCAAGGCGACGAUCCCUAGCUGGUCUGAGAGGAUGAUCAGCCACACUGGAACUGAGACACGGUCCAGACUCCUACGGGAGGCAGCAGUGGGGAAUAUUGCACAAUGGGGGAAACCCUGAUGCAGCCAUGCCGCGUGUGUGAAGAAGGCCUUCGGGUUGUAAAGCACUUUCAGCGAGGAGGAAAGGUUGAUGCCUAAUACGCAUCAGCUGUGACGUUACUCGCAGAAGAAGCACCGGCUAACUCCGUGCCAGCCGCCGCGGUAACAC